rnacentral:rRNA from 1 species
GACGAACGCUGGCGGCAUGCCUAAUACAUGCAAGUCGAGCGGACGUUGAUAGAGAAGCUUGCUUCUCUUGAUACUUAGCGGCGGACGGGUGAGUAACACGUAGGCAACCUGCCCUCAAGUUUGGGACAACUACCGGAAACGGUAGCUAAUACCGAAUAAUUGUUUUCUUCGCCUGAAGGAAACUGGAAAGACGGAGCAAUCUGUCACUUGGGGAUGGGCCUGCGGCGCAUUAGCUAGUUGGUGAGGUAACGGCUCACCAAGGCGACGAUGCGUAGCCGACCUGAGAGGGUGAUCGGCCACACUGGGACUGAGACACGGCCCAGACUCCUACGGGAGGCAGCAGUAGGGAAUCUUCCGCAAUGGGCGAAAGCCUGACGGAGCAAUGCCGCGUGAGUGAUGAAGGUUUUCGGAUCGUAAAGCUCUGUUGCCAGGGAAGAACGCUUGGGAGAGUAACUGCUCUCAAGGUGACGGUACCUGAGAAGAAAGCCCCGGCUAACUACGUGCCAGCAGCCGCGGUAAUACGUAGGGGGCAAGCGUUGUCCGGAAUUAUUGGGCGUAAAGCGCGCGCAGGCGGUCAUUUAAGUCUGGUGUUUAAUCCCGGGGCUCAACCCCGGAUCGCACUGGAAACUGGGUGACUUGAGUGCAGAAGAGGAGAGUGGAAUUCCACGUGUAGCGGUGAAAUGCGUAGAUAUGUGGAGGAACACCAGUGGCGAAGGCGACUCUCUGGGCUGUAACUGACGCUUGAGGCGCGAAAGCGUGGGG